rnacentral:rRNA from 1 species
GCACCGAAGCUGCGGCAGCGACGCUUAUGCGUUGUUGGGUAGGGGAGCGUUCUGUAAGCCUGCGAAGGUGGCCUGUGAGGGUUGCUGGAGGUAUCAGAAGUGCGAAUGCUGACAUAAGUAACGAUAAAGCGGGUGAAAAGCCCGCUCGCCGGAAGACCAAGGGUUCCUGUCCAACGUUAAUCGGGGCAGGGUGAGUCGACCCCUAAGGCGAGGCCGAAAGGCGUAGUCGAUGGGAAACGGGUUAAUAUUCCCGUACUUGGUGUUACUGCGAAGGGGGGACGGAGAAGGCUAUGUUGGCCGGGCGACGGUUGUCCCGGUUUAAGCGUGUAGGUGUGUGUUCCAGGUAAAUCCGGUUCACUUUAACACUGAGGCGUGACGACGAGGCACUACGGUGCUGAAGCAACAAAUGCCCUGCUUCCAGGAAAAGCCUCUAAGCAUCAGGUAACAUCAAAUCGUACCCCAAACCGACACAGGUGGUCAGGUAGAGAAUACCAAGGCGCUUGAGAGAACUCGGGUGAAGGAACUAGGCAAAAUGGUGCCGUAACUUCGGGAGAAGGCACGCUGACACGUAGGUGAAGUGAUUUACUCAUGGAGCUGAAGUCAGUCGAAGAUACCAGCUGGCUGCAACUGUUUAUUAAAAACACAGCACUGUGCAAACACGAAAGUGGACGUAUACGGUGUGACGCCUGCCCGGUGCCGGAAGGUUAAUUGAUGGGGUCAGCGCAAGCGAAGCUCCUGAUCGAAGCCCCGGUAAACGGCGGCCGUAACUAUAACGGUCCUAAGGUAGCGAAAUUCCUUGUCGGGUAAGUUCCGACCUGCACGAAUGGCGUAAUGAUGGCCAGGCUGUCUCCACCCGAGACUCAGUGAAAUUGAACUCGCUGUGAAGAUGCAGUGUACCCGCGGCAAGACGGAAAGACCCCGUGAACCUUUACUAUAGCUUGACACUGAACAUUGAGCCUUGAUGUGUAGGAUAGGUGGGAGGCUUUGAAGUGUGGACGCCAGUCUGCAUGGAGCCGACCUUGAAAUACCACCCUUUAAUGUUUGAUGUUCUAACGUGGACCCGUUACCCGGGUUGCGGACAGUGUCUGGUGGGUAGUUUGACUGGGGCGGUCUCCUCCUAAAGAGUAACGGAGGAGCACGAAGGUUGGCUAAUCCUGGUCGGACAUCAGGAGGUUAGUGCAAUGGCAUAAGCCAGCUUGACUGCGAGCGUGACGGCGCGAGCAGGUGCGAAAGCAGGUCAUAGUGAUCCGGUGGUUCUGAAUGGAAGGGCCAUCGCUCAACGGAUAAAAGGUACUCCGGGGAUAACAGGCUGAUACCGCCCAAGAGUUCAUAUCGACGGCGGUGUUUGGCACCUCGAUGUCGGCUCAUCACAUCCUGGGGCUGAAGUAGGUCCCAAGGGUAUGGCUGUUCGCCAUUUAAAGUGGUACGCGAGCUGGGUUUAGAACGUCGUGAGACAGUUCGGUCCCUAUCUGCCGUGGGCGCUGGAGAACUGAGGGGGGCUGCUCCUAGUACGAGAGGACCGGAGUGGACGCAUCACUGGUGUUCGGGUUGUCAUGCCAAUGGCACUGCCCGGUAGCUAAAUGCGGAAGAGAUAAGUGCUGAAAGCAUCUAAGCACGAAACUUGCCCCGAG